AACGAACGCUGGCGGCAUGCCUAACACAUGCAAGUCGAACGAGACCUCCGGGUCUAGUGGCGCACGGGUGCGUAACGCGUGGGAACCUGCCCUUAGGGUCGGAAUAACUCCCCGAAAGGGGUGCUAAUACCGGAUAAUGUCUUCGGACCAAAGAUUUAUCGACUUGGGAUGGGCCCGCGUUGGAUUAGCUAGUUGGUAGGGUAAAAGCCUACCAAGGCGACGAUCCAUAGCUGGGCUGAGAGGAUGAUCAGCCACACUGGGACUGAGACACGGCCCAGACUCCUACGGGUGGCAGCAGUGGGGAAUAUUGGACGCUGGGCGAGAGCUGGAUCCAGCACUGCCGCGCGAGUGAUGAAGGCCUUAGGGUUGUAAAGCUCUUUUACCAGGGAUGAUAAGGACAGUACCGGGAGAAUAAGCACCGGCUAACUCCGG
rnacentral:rRNA from 1 species